AACGAGGCCGACCUGCGGCUGAGUUACCUGCGGAGGGAUCAUUAACCUUUCAAAUCAGGGUGCGGCGCGGCCCCCGAGGAGCGGAAACAAUCCUUGGGAGGUAUGCGGGGGCUUCGAGCCCCCCAUUUACGCACGCACGACUGCCAUCCUUACUUUACGAGCACCUUCUGUUCUCCCUCGGCGGGGCAACCUGCCGUUGGAACCGAAUAAACUCUUUUUGCAUCUAGCAUUACCUGUUCC
rnacentral:misc_RNA from 1 species